rnacentral:tRNA from 1 species
GAGGGAAAUAUCCGAUUGGUAGGGUGACCGACUGUAACUCGGUUUGACGUUAUGUCAGUUGUUGGUUCGAGCCCAGCUUUCCUCA